GAGAAAAAAAAAGAAAAAGAUUAGUUACUUCAGAGCAUAUAAUGACGCUGCAUUGAUGCAACCAUCUUCAAAAGGCAGCUUCUGUAUGAAAACAUAUAUAAAUUCUUUGAAUGUUCAUCAGAAAAUGAAUGAUUAUCAAAACCUGUAAUGUUUUUAAAGCUGUAUUAGAACAAAACCCUGGCAAUAAAAGACAUUCCUGCCUCUGAAUGACACCUCCGAAAGGGACAAACCUGACUGACCAGCAGAUUCCACUUUUCUACCUGCAAAGCUUCUCAGACCGGUGCCAGUAGAGGGCAAUACCACACAGUCAACAUUUUUUGUGGUGGUAAGGUAGGAAAUAUGCAAACUAUUUCUCUUAUUCCACCCCAAAGCGUAAGUCUUUCCAUUUCCAAAUUAAGUUCUCAGUGAUUGCAAAGGCAUCUGCAAACAGGAACAGACUCAAAGGAAUACAGUGCUUAUUUACUGGCUCGCCCUGUAUUUGCCCGCUGAAUUGGAAAAGAUCUGAAAUGCUAUUGAAGAGCUGUGGCAGAUUUGUGAUUUCUUCCCCAGAGACUCAAGCGUAUUACUUCUUCUGUGGGUGUGUAAAAUGUUAAGAAAAUAAAGAUCUCAACUUUUUGUCUCCUUACAGUAGAAGGAUAGGUUUUAUCCCUUCUGAAAAUCCAGGAUUUUCUUUUUAACUUUCCCCUAAACAAACCUGUUUCUCUAAGAAGAUAAUCCUGGGAUCUAAGGCACUCCUUCAGCCUAAAUGGUCAUGACCUGCUCCCCAUUACAGCUUGUCAACCCAUAACCACUUCAGUGUUUUAAUUCUGCUGUUAUCACCAGUACAGUGCAAGCCUGCUAGUAUGAAUUAAACAAGUCCAGUUGCAGGAGAGAGAGAGAAUGGUCAUUCAGGUACCAGUCUAACAACAUUAAUAUUGCAAAGAACAGAUAGUUGCUGUAGCCUAACCUGGCAAAAACUAAGUGGAAGCCAAGUCAGAUUCUGUGUGAUGAAUGUGAUUUUCCAAGUGAGAGUUUUACAAUCUCUUUCUGACUUACAUGUUCACAAGGAGAGAUAUAUCAUUUUCUUGCUUUGGUUUUCUUUACUGUCCUUCUGCACUACCAUUUUCCACAGUUACUUUCAGUGCAGUGUCUCUGAUAAGGAAGUCUUCUCAAAGAGAAGGGACAGCCAACAGAGGAACAGCACUGCUGUCAACGCAUCCUCCAGAGGAAAAGCAAAUUUUGAAGCACCUCCUAUCAACUGAGAGACUUCCUGCAUUCAGCAAUAUUUAUGCCAAAAAGGAUCUGCUCCCUUGCGUCUACAGUCACUGUCCUUACACAUGGCUUUUAAAUCCACUAUGGUUAGUUUAAAUGUAAACAAACAAAUGCAUAUGACUCAGCUUUCAGUAGAUGCUGUGUGAAAAAGACCCUGCGGCAGCCCCCUUUCCAUUGCAGAUUUCUGUGGAAAGUGACAGACUGAGAUUUCUCCCAAAAGGGUCUCUGACUGCCAAGUACAAUGGAGUGGUAAUGUGAGUGGGGACAGAGGAAUCCAUUUCCCAAACAAAAAUUUACAGAAGUUACUUUCUUUUCCUGCUUGGCUUGUGGUAAGGUUACCCUGCUGAAAUAGUUUGGUGAGAAUCCAAAUCUUGGUAUGUUUGCUGCUUUGUUGAUGGAUUAUCAAUUCUGCAUGCUUAAGGUCUGUUCUGUGGGAGUAAAAAACAAAAGUAUCCACCCAGUGGGGAGAAAUGUUGAUUUCACAAGACUGUAUCUUUAAAUGUCAGAUCAUGUUUUUCUCACUUAAAAAUUUCCAUUGGAAAACACCAUUCAAGCUUCAAACUUGAAGAGCAAUACACCUACUAGUAAGUUGCCAUUCGAUUUAUUGGGCUGCCACUGAUUCACCCAGCAAAAGGAUCUUCCACAUGCCCUACAGAGGUUCCCAGGGAAGGUAACGAAUGGGUAAAAUAUUUUUUGUAGAUUUUUUUCAGGCCAACUGUGCUGCAGAAGGCUAUUUAUCCACAUUCUUUGUAGAAAGGAUUACCACAUAUUCCCUGGAAUCGGAAAUGUUUUCUUUUCAAGGCUAGUUGCAGCUGUUUACUGAGAAGUGUUUUGCCCUGUUUUGUUUAAACCACAGAACACCAUGGCCCUCUGCAGGUUUAUCAGUUGCUUUCAUGCCUUUUUCCUGCAAUAGGCCACUCUUUCCAAGAACCAAAAAAAUAAAAAAAUUGAAUAACAUGGCAAAGAUGCCUCAUACACUAAGGCACAAAAGGCACAGUAAUAGUUCUUUUAUGUUUACCUCGUCAGGUUUCUCUGCCCAGGACUUAUAAGCACAUUUUUUGAAAAUGUAUCUAAUCAGUCAAUUUGGUUGUUAUUUACAACAACCAGGAUUGUGCUUUUUGCUGGCAAAGAGCUAGCCUUGUCCAGAGUUCAUACAAACAAAAUUCUUAUGUAAGAAAAUAUCCAUAGUAUCUUGUGUGUAUAUAUUUGUAUUUAAUGGUUGGCUAAAUCUCAUCUAGGACUGUGUUGCAGCCACAGAGUCAUAGAAUCACAGAAUAUCCUGAGUUGGAAGAGACCCACAAGGAUCACUGACUCCAACUCCUGGCUCCAGACAAGAUCACCUAAAAUUCUAACCAUAUAAACACUUUCGUUUUCUAAACAGGUAACCUGAAGAAAUAUGGCUGGUGAACUUCAUGAGGAUGACCAAUGGAGCUGAACUUCAUGGGGAUGACUAAUGGAGCUGAUGCACCCAGUGAGCUUAGCUGCUAUGGAGCAGGACAGACCUGCAUGGGCAGGAGGACGAGCAGGGCAGAUGACUUGCAGUGUAUCCGUUCCUACUCAUAUGCAACAUCUAAGACCACAGUGGAUUACUGUAAACCAAUUUGCAAGUCCUUACAUGCAAAAAUAUCAGCUGACUUGGAUGGCCACAACUAUGAUUUACAUCUCUCCAUACAUGGAGGUCGCAGAUGUGGGCACCUCAGUGCUGCCAGUUUGCUCCAGCUGCCACCCAGGGCAGACUGUGUUCUGCCAGCUCCUCUGGGAGGAAGACCUCCAGGAUACCCUAGAAAAGAUGGGAUUGCCUUCUCCCUCCAACCUAGAGACACUGAGACUCAUCCAGCUAUGCCUUGCAAACCACAAGCAAACAGAAUGUGUACAUAAGCCAACAGCAGUAUACAUAUACAGAGUUAGUCAUGUGAUUUUCUAAAGAUAGGUCUCCUUCAGCUAGAGGUUAUGGACUUGAUUCAGGUGUUGCUGGAAGAAAGGUUACCAUGUAUUCUGCAGGCAGGACGCUGUGACCAUUGUAGCCCUUCCAAUUAUUAAAGUUCCAGCUCCCCUGUAAAGGUAUGUGUUGUUAAUUCAGUUACCAGCAGAAAGCAAGUGCAUGUCACGCCAUAGCUUUUUAAUGGAAAACAUGCUGUUGUAGGCUAUGUCUACAUAAUUUACCUGUCAUAGCAGUAUCAUUUCUUUAAGGGAGAGUAUAUAAACAAAAAGCUUUAUUCUUUCACAUCCCAGUGGCUCAGCUGAGCGGCCUAUUGAAAAUCAAAUAAUCACCGGAAUUGGAAGGGACCUUUAAAGGUCAUCUAGUCCAACAACCCUGUGACGAACAAGGACAUCUAAAGUUCGAUCUACAUCUAGUCCCAACUCUGACUGCAAAAGUGGCAGCCAGAGAAGCAAUUCAGGGAGAAUAUGCAAGCUUGGACACUGUCAUCCUGCUUCCACAGUUACUGUUAGGAAUAUAGAAGAUACCUUCCCACCUAGUCCUUCUGGUAUCUGUUUAUGAGCCCUCUGCCCAGGAAUUCAUCCUUUCUGCAUCUCCCGAUGCUCUCAACAUGGAAGCUGUUGAAGGUUUUAGGGACAACAUAAUGAACUGAAAUGCUGCUAGGAAAAAAGACUGAAAUACUUUGACACAGACAGUACCCUAAAUCAGGCGUGACCACAACUGAUCAGUCCUUGUCAAAGAUCAGGUCAGCCUGGCAGAAAACCAAGCUCAUAGCUGAAGCCAUCAUCAGAAGUUCGUGAUCUCCUGUUUUCAUGCCAGCACACACACAGUGAGUGAAAGUGAGGGAGAGAUCAUAAAGCAACAAAACAAUCGUGUUUUAUAGCAAAAACAGCUAUUCUGAAAGGGUUUUGUUGACUAAUACAGUUUCAAAUACAGGCCACUUGAUUUCGACGUUUGAAAUAGUUUCCCUACAUCUUCUUUCCUUAAGGCAUCGGUUAGCGCAUGGAAGUACAAGCCAUUAAUUAUUCUGACCUAAACCCCCGGGGUCGGAAAACAGCUUGCAGCACAUAGGAAAACCUCCAUCACAAAGCCAGCAGGGCGGCUGGAUGCCAGCAGUGAACAAUCGCCCGACUGCCCGACGAGGACAAAAGCAGGAGCCGCCCGGGACCCGGCCUCGCCCCCCGCGCGGCCGGGGGGACGCGGCACCGAUCUCUGCGCCCGGGCAGGCCGGGUACCGCAGGACGGCCCGAUCCCGCGGUGCCGGCGAUGGGCUCCGAUGGC